UACGUAGGGGGCGAGCGUUGUCCGGAAUUACUGGGCGUAAAGGGCGAGUAGGCGGCUAUACAAGUCAGAUGUGAAAUACCAGGGCUCAACCCUGGUACUGCAUUUGAAACUGUGUAGCUUGAGUACAGGAGAGGAAAGUGGAAUUCCCAGUGUAGCGGUGAAAAUGCGUAGAUAUUGGGGAGGAACACCAGUGGCGAAGGGCGACUUUUCUGGACUGUAAACUGACGCUGAGGCGCGAAAGCGGUGGGGAGCAAACAGGGA
rnacentral:rRNA from 1 species